rnacentral:rRNA from 1 species
AUUGAACGCUGGCGGCAGGCCUAACACAUGCAAGUCGAGCGAGCGGCGGACGGGUGAGUAAUGUCUGGGAAACUGCCUGAUGGAGGGGGAUAACUACUGGAAACGGUAGCUAAUACCGCAUACCAUCAGAUGUGCCCAGAUGGGAGUAGCUAGUGGGUGGGGUAACGGCUCACCUAGGCGACGAUCCCUAGCUGGUCUGAGAGGAUGACCAGCCAAACUGGAACGGAGACACGGUCCAGACUCCGACGGGAGGCAGCAGUGGGGAAUAUUACACAAUGGGCGCAAGCCGGAUGCAGCCACGCCGCGUGAGUGAAGAAGGCCUUCGGAUUGUAAAACACUUUCAGCGGGGAGGCGGUACCCAAAGAGAAAGCACCGGCUAACUACGUGCCAGCAGCCGCGGUAAUAC